UUGAUUCGCAUUUCCGGAAACACUGAUCAUAUAAAGUUCCCAUCCCAUAUCUUUCCCAAACAAGUAAUCUUUACAACGUAUAAUGGUUCGAUUAUUGUCUUCAAGAUGAUGUUAACGCUCGAGAGGGGUCAGGAAGUACCUCAAGAUGAAGUCUUCAAGAUUACUCACACGAGGAAGGCGAAGAACGCCGAUGGUACGGACCAAUGGAUUGAGAGACAACGUAGGUCACAAGACAACGUAGUUCAUGCUCUUGUUUAUGAGGAUAGUGGGAAGGAAUCGGAUCAUGUCUCUAACACCCAACGUUGACUUUUUUGAUUCAUAUACUUUUGGAUUGUAAUAUUGCUAUGUUUUCUUGGAUAUGUAUAUUUUUUUUAUGAUAGUUUUAAUUCGAAUUAGAUGUACUUUUGAAUGUGAAUUAGAUUGUAGGAAGUAGUUUAUGGAUGUUUAAGUGUUUGAAUGUAGAAAGUAGUUUAUGGUUGUUUAACUUUACGAUGUUUAAGUGUUUGAAUGUAGUUUUAAGGAUAUUUAGAAGUACUUUAAAUUGAAACUUGAGGUUGAAUUUGAUUUUAGAAUGUGAAGUUUAUGAUUGUAGAAGUACUUUGAUGAAUUGGACGUGUUGAUGAAUUGCAUUGUUGAUUUGGUUGA